rnacentral:rRNA from 1 species
UGCGUAGGUAGUUUCUUAAGUCAGAAGUGGAAGGCUACGGCUCAACCGUAGUAAGCUUUUGAAACUGAGAAACUUGAGUGCAGGAGAGGAGAGUAGAAUUCCUAGUGUAGCGGUGAAAUGCGUAGAUAUUAGGAGGAAUACCAGUUGCGAAGGCGGCUCUCUGGACUGUAACUGACACUGAGGCACGAAAGCGGUGGGGAGCAAACA